UACGUAGGGUGCAAGCGUUAAUCGGAAUUACUGGGCGUAAAGCGUGCGCAGGCGGUUUCGUAAGUCUGUCGUGAAAUCCCCGGGCUCAACCUGGGAAUUGCGAUGGAGACUGCGAGGCUAGAGUUUGGCAGAGGGGGGUAGAAUUCCACGUGUAGCAGUGAAAUGCGUAGAGAUGUGGAGGAACACCGAUGGCGAAGGCAGCCCCCUGGGCUAACACUGACGCUCAUGCACGAAAGCGUGGGGAGCAAACAGG
rnacentral:rRNA from 1 species